rnacentral:rRNA from 1 species
UGCAGAGAACUUCCUAGAGAUGGAUUGGUGCCUUCGGGAACGUCUGACACAGGUGGCUGCAUGGCUGUCGUCAGCUCGUGUCGUGAGAUGUUGGGUUAAGUCCCGUAACGAGCGCAACCCUUGUCCUUAGUUACCAGCACGUUAUGGUGGGCACUCUAAGGAGACUGCCGGUGACAAACCGGAGGAAGGUGGGGAUGACGUCAAGUCAUCAUGGCCCUCACGGCCUGGGCUACACACGUGCUACAAUGGUCGGUACAAAGGGUUGCCAAGCCGCGAGGUGGAGCUAAUCCCAUAAAACCGAUCGUAGUCCGGAUCGCAGUCUGCAACUCGACUGCGUGAAGUCGGAAUCGCUAGUAAUCGUGAAUCAGAAUGUCACGGUGAAUACGUUCCCGGGCCUU